UUAGGGCUGCACUUAAUUUAUUAAUUGUAUCCAUAAGUCCUGAAAGAAAAUCUUGUGUUGAUCAUUUUUGAUUUUGUCUUAUGAGGGUAAAAUCAUGACAGACUGACAUGGAAAAUU